rnacentral:rRNA from 1 species
CGUGUAGGCGGAUACGCAAGUCGGUUGUGAAAUCCCUGGGCUCAACCUAGGAACUGCAUCCGAAACUGUGUGUCUUGAGUAAUGGAGAGGGUGGCGGAAUUCCCGGUGUAGAGGUGAAAUUCGUAGAUAUCGGGAGGAACAUCUGUGGCGAAGGCGGCCACCUGGACAUUUACUGACGCUGAGACGCAAAAGCGUGGGGAGCAAACA